rnacentral:misc_RNA from 1 species
GAUGAAGAACGUAGCGAAAUGCGAUACGUAAUGUGAAUUGCAGAAUUCAGUGAAUCAUCGAAUCUUUGAACGCAUAUUGCGCUCUUUGGUAUUCCGAAGAGCAUGCUUGUUUGAGUAUCAGUAAACACCUCAAAGCUUUUGGAUUUUUUAAUCGAAAAGCUUUGGAGUUGAGCAAUCCCAACACCAAUCUUUUUGAGAUCGGUGGCGGGUUGCUUGAAAUGCAGGUGCAGCUGGACAUUCUCCUGAGCUAAAAGCAUAUUCAUUUAGUCCCGUCAAACGGAUUAUUACUUUUGCUGCAGCUAACAUAAAGGGAGUUUGACCGUAUUGGCUGACUGAUGCAGGAUUUCACAAGGGUCGGCAACGAUUCUUGUUAAACUCGAUCUCAAAUCAAGUAAGACUACCCGCUGAACUUAAGCAUAUCAAUAAGCGGAGGA